rnacentral:sRNA from 1 species
CCCGGGGUUCACACCCCGGGCUAAUUAUAUAUCAUCCCUUCAGGACU